UACGUUUUACUUCAAUACAUUUUAAUUGACGUCGAUGACAGAUUCGUAUUAAAAUUUUUUUUAUUUUUCGAAAAUGAAAGUGUAAAAAGCCGCGAAUGGGCCCGCUAACUCUUUGUUACUUUCGGCUAUUCUCAAAAUUCCAAAACCUGCACAGAUGUGAGUCCAUCGAAAACAUGAAAAAUUUUCGACCGUGAAUGAGAAGGCGUUCACACUGGCUUACUUUAAGCGUUUCUUUACCAUUAUUUGGCUGAGGACUAAAUAUUUAAGCUGACGACAACGAAAACCAAAUUUCUUAAAUUUUUAAUAAAAAGCUGAAAUUGGCGGAGGGCAACACUUUUGAAAAUAUACGUUGUUUUAACUAAUUAAACAAAGUCCAAUAGUUGCGCUAGCUGGCAACAACAUUCAAAGUGCUCUUCAAUAUGAACAGCAUAACAUUUUUUGUACAUAAAUGUUGGAAUAUAUGGCAACCUUUUUUACAAAAUAAUCAACUUUUGUAGAUAUUUACGUUUGAAUUAUAAAUAUGUGGCAGCCUAGCAAAUAAAAAAUAUCUUGAAUGUGC